rnacentral:piRNA from 1 species
UACACUGCAGACAAGCGCGCCUCCCUUC